CAUGUCUUUUUGAUUAUAAUUUAAAGUCUGACCUGCCCUAUGAAUAAAUUAUUUUAAAUGGCCGCGGUAUUUUAACCGUGCAAAGGUAGCAUAAUAAUUAGUUUCUUAAUUGGGAACUGGUAUGAAUGGUCGAACGAGAAAAAUACUGUCUCAAUUUAAAUUAAAUUAGAAUUUUAUUUUUAAGUUAAAAAGCUUAAAUAUUUUUAAAAGACGAGAAGACCCUAUAGAGUUUUAUAAUUUUUAAAUUUAUUUAAAAAUUUAAGUAUUAAAAAUUUAAUUAUAUUAAAAGUUAUUUAAUUGGGGCGAUUAAAAAAUUUAAUAAACUUUUUUUAAAUUAAACCAUUGAUAUAUGAGUAAGUGAUCCAUAAAUUAUGAUUAUAAGAUUAAAUUACCUUAGGGAUAACAGCGUUAUUUUUUUUUAGAGUUCUUAUCGAAAAAAAAGUUUGCGACC
rnacentral:rRNA from 1 species